rnacentral:rRNA from 1 species
AGUGGCGGACGGGUGAGUAAUGCUUGGGAACUUGCCUUUGCGAGGGGGAUAACAGUUGGAAACGACUGCUAAUACCGCAUAAUGUCUUCGGACCAAACGGGGCUUCGGCUCCGGCGCAAAGAGAGGCCCAAGUGAGAUUAGCUAGUUGGUAAGGUAACGGCUUACCAAGGCGACGAUCUCUAGCUGUUCUGAGAGGAAGAUCAGCCACACUGGGACUGAGACACGGCCCAGACUCCUACGGGAGGCAGCAGUGGGGAAUAUUGCACAAUGGGGGAAACCCUGAUGCAGCCAUGCCGCGUGUGUGAAGAAGGCCUUCGGGUUGUAAAGCACUUUCAGUUGUGAGGAAAAGUUAGUAGUUAAUACCUGCUAGCCGUGACGUUAACAACAGAAGAAGCACCGGCUAACUCCGUGCCAGCAGCCGCGGUAAUACGGAGGGUGCGAGCGUUAAUCGGAAUUACUGGGCGUAAAGCGCACGCAGGCGGUUUGUUAAGCUAGAUGUGAAAGCCCCGGGCUCAACCUGGGAUGGUCAUUUAGAACUGGCAGACUAGAGUCUUGGAGAGGGGGAGUGGAAUUCCAGGUGUAGCGGUGAAAUGCGUAGAUAAUCUGGAGGAACAUCAGUGGCGAAGGCGACUCUCCUGGCCAAAGACUGACGCUCAUGUGCGAAAGUGUGGGUAGCGAACAGGAUUAGAUACCCUGGUAGUCCACACCGUAACGCUGUCUACUAGCUGU